rnacentral:rRNA from 1 species
GCACUUUAAGCAGUGAAGAAGACUCUUCGGUUAAUACCCGGAGACGAUGACAUUAGCUGCAGAAUAAGCACCGGCUAACUCUGUGCCAGCAGCCGCGGUAAUACAGAGGGUGCAAGCGUUAAUCGGAAUUACUGGGCGUAAAGGGAGCGUAGGUGGCUCGAUAAGUCAGAUGUGAAAUCCCCGGGCUCAACCUGGGAACUGCAUCUGAUACUGUCGUGCUAGAGUAUGUGAGAGGAAGGUAGAAUUCCAGGUGUAGCGGUGAAAUGCGUAGAGAUCUGGAGGAAUACCGAUGGCGAAGGCAGCCUUCUGGCAUAAUACUGACACUGAGGCUCGAAAGCGUGGGUAGCAAACAGGAUUAGAUACCCUGGUAGUCCACGCCGUAAACGAUGUCUACUAGUCGUUGG